ACUUUCCAGGUGUUUAAAUGACACAGCCCAGUUCUGUGGUGACGCAGAGAAAAAUUACGGUGAUGUGCCCAAAAACACUGUCAUCUGUUCUGCCACCAACACCAUGUCCAAGCUCUUCAGAUCAGAUUACUCCAAGGAUGAACAAUUCACAGGCUUCCAGGCAUUUUUUUCUGCUGAAGACAUUAAUAUGUGCCUGAGCACUGUGGAUGGAGAGCCUGUGUGUGACCAUAAUUGCCAUAAUUAUGUUGGGGCUUUUACUGCGCUUGCAGAUUGGGAUACCAACUCCAUGAUGAUAAAGGACACUGCCCUGGUGUUUCAGGAGAGGUCAGGAGAACUGAGCAGUCCAGAGUACCCAGGUGUUUACCCCAAGAUGAGCCAGUGUGAUUAUAAUAUCAGUUUUGAUGGAAGGCUUUCAAGUAACCUUUUUGAUCUGGAGAUUCAUCCUGAAAUCCACUGCCCUUAUGACAUCCUUAAGAUCACUGCAGGUGAGAGGGAGUACGGCCCAUUUUAUGGCAAGACCCCACAAAGAAAAAUAGAGACGGGAACUCACAAAGUGCAUGUGACCUUCCGCUCAGACCACUCGGAGAAAAACAAAGACUGGAAGAUCAAGUAUUCCAGAACGGGGGGAAGAUGCUUUGCCCUUUUAUCAAGCCAAAUGCCUGAAGGGUGGAUUUUGGAAUGGACAGAUGCCUCGCUACAUCAGUAAAUUGUUCAAGAAUCCCAGAUAAGCAUGAAGUGUACAUAAUCGUCAAUGGGGGUUUACUUGUGUACCAAAGAGGAGGUACGUUUUAAAACCUGCAGCUGAAGAUGGGCAUAGUCGAACAACAUGACAACGAGGCAGUAGUUGGUAUUCCACAGAAAAUCUUCAUUCACCCUCAAUACCAUCACGAUAAUAUUAACUUCAACCAUGGCACUGCCCUG